CUUUUAAUUGCCGAGUGUUGGCAAUUUAACAGACUGUAAUGAGUACACUGUCCCUCUUUUUUUUGCACACAGCCCGUUGAGCUCGGUGGAAACAGGAGUUUGUUUUGUGUACGGAGCCGAGAAGACUUAUUAAAAGCUGACGGAAGCGUUUGGAAUGAGUUUAUUUUGACUGGCGAGCAGCUGCAGCAACUCACCCUCCUUCUUUGAAAAUCUUCAGCUUCGAGGUUUCGAAGAGCCAGUGCAGCCGGUUUCCUGACAUCCAUUUGUACGGUCCCUUUAUACCUUCAAUAUUAGCCUGUUUCAGUUUCCUGCACAGUAAAAGCCAAAGACAGAUUCUUGCUAUUGAAUCCAACACUUCACAAAUCCAAAGCCAGAAUCUUUGGACUCUAGGGGGAAGCUGACCUUCCCUCAGACCCUCUUGCGCCAGCCCCUCCCUUGCUGGGCAGUGCACACUCAUCCCCAGAUGCAGAGAAGAAAGGAUUCUCCUCCAUCGUGCCCGAAUUCUUGAGUUGGCGCCAAGAAACAGCCAGCUGGAGCAGAGCCAGUUGUGAUAGAGUUUCACGCAUCGGCCAAGAACAGAUUCUGCCCAGGAACUCGCACUCACACAGCCCCGUCCAAGGAGAGUGAACACAGAGCGAGCCCUCACAAGGUGUAGGAAGCAAGAGGGUGGCACUCGGGGGCCCCAGGAAGCCCUGUCAUCACCCCAACCCGAGGCUGCCAGCAAGCCCGUGCCAGAGGAAGUGGGCUGUGCUGCCAGAGGCUGUGCUGAGAAGGAGUCUGACUGUGCUCCUCUGGGUCACAUGUGAGUGCACAUCCCUAAGCCAGAAGCUCCACUGAGUAACUGAGCAGGCUCUGGCCCCCUCAGUGCUUAUCACCUGGAGCUGGGCUCUCGGCUGGUUUCAUGGGACGGAGCCCCGUGUUUAAGCUCCCGUCUGGGGAUCGGACGCUCCACCUCCUUCUGGCUGAGGCACCAUGGGACACCUGCCCCCGACUCCGGUUCCUUCCUGGCUUCUCUUGUCGCCUCUCCGGCCUCUGAAUCCUAGUCCCUGUGCCUCAUAGCCCCUACACCACUGCUGCCAAGGCCCUUGGUCACAUUUCUCCCCACUUGUCACAGCCCUACCUCGUGCCUCUUGCUGGCGCUCCAUGACCCUGGUCACGUGACCUCGGAAAUGUCACUCCCCUCUGUCACCCCCAUCUCCUGGUUUCAUACUCUGCCCGCUUCAUCUCCUGCUGUUCCCUUCAUCUGUCAUUCUCCCUGCCCCCACCCCUCCCCUUACUCUAGCUCUAAUGGGAGCAUCCGAUGAUAGGAAUCAUAAGUGGAAAGCACACACUUAGAGGAUUUCAUGUAUAAAUGACACUGUUUUCCUUACUUACUAUCACUGCCACGCAAUUAGUUGCCCUUUAACCAGUGAGUUCUCCCAAAACAAUGUCUUUAAAAUAAAAAUGCCCUUUAAAUGUUUUCAUCUCUAUAAGAUUUCUGUUCCGUGGUAAUAAUGGUGGCUGCUGCUUCUUUUAUACACCUAAAGAGCUAGAGAAUGUGCAUUUACAGGAAUUCUCAGC